AGAGUUUGAUCCUGGCUCAGGGAUGAACGCUGGCGGCGCGCCUAACACAUGCAAGUCGAACGAGAAGCACCUCUUCGGAGGUGUGGAUAGUGGCGAACGGCUGAGUAACACGUGGGCAACCUGCCCCUCUCAUCGGGAUAGCCUCGGGAAACCGGGGAUAAUACCGGAUACUCCGACGCUUUCGCAUGGAAGCGUUGGGAAAGCUCUGGCGGAGAGGGAUGGGCCCGCGGCCUGUUAGCUAGUUGGCGGGGUAACGGCCCACCAAGGCUUCUAUGGGUAGCCGGGUUGAGAGACCGACCGGCCAGAUUGGGACUGAGACACGGCCCAAACUCCUACGGGAGGCUGCAGUGGGGAAUAUUGCACAAUGGGCGCAAGCCUGAUGCAGCGACGCCGCGUGAGGGAUGACGGCCUUCGGGUUGUAAACCGCUUUCAGCAGGGAAGAGGCCGCUCAUUGACGUUACCCGCAGAAGAAGCACCGGCUAACUACGUGCCAGCAGCCGCGGUAAUACGUAGGGUGCAAGCGUUAUCCGGAAUUAUUGGGCGUAAAGGGCUCGUAGGCGGUUCGUGCGUCCGGUGUGAAAGUCCAUCGCUUAACGGUGGAUCCGCGCCGGGUACGGGCGGGCUUGAGUGCGGUAGGGGAGACUGGAAUUCCCGGUGUAACGGUGGAAUGUGUAGAUAUCGGGAAGAACACCAAUGGCGAAGGCAGGUCUCUGGGCCGUUACUGACGCUGAGGAGCGAAAGCGUGGGGAGCGAACAGGAUUAGAUACCCUCUAGUAGUCCACGCCGUAAACGAUGAGUACUAAGUGUUGGAAGUCAAAUUUCAGUGCUGCAGUUAACGCAGUAAGUACUCCGCCUGAGUAGUACGUUCGCAAGAAUGAAACUCAAAGGAAUUGACGGGGGCCCGCACAAGCGGCGGAGCAUGCGGAUUAAUUCGAUGCAACGCGAAGAACCUUACCAGGUCUUGACAUACUCAUAAAUGUUCCAGAGAUGGAAAGAUAGCUAUAUGAGAUACAGGUGGUGCAUGGUUGUCGUCAGCUCGUGCCGGGAGAUGUUGGGUUAAGUCCCGCAACGAGCGCAACCCUUGUCGUUAGUUACCAUCAUUAAGUUGGGGACUCUAGCGAGACUGCCAGUGACAAGCUGGAGGAAGGCGGGGAUGACGUCAAAUCAUCAUGCCCCUUAUGACCUGGGCUACACACGUGCUACAAUGGAUGGUGCAGAGGGAAGCGAAGCCGCGAGGCGAAGCAAAACCCAUAAAACCAUUCUCAGUUCGGAUUGUAGUCUGCAACUCGACUACAUGAAGUUGGAAUCGCUAGUAAUCGCGAAUCAGCAUGUCGCGGUGAAUACGUUCUCGGGCCUUGUACACACCGCCCGUCAAG
rnacentral:rRNA from 1 species